CACAUCUCUUUUCUUUUCCCUCUCCUCCUAUACUCUACCCCUCCACUUUUUCUGCCAUAAACUUCCGAACACCACAUUGCUGCCACAGACCCUUCUUUCCUCUAAAACCAGAGCAACGGGACUGAACCCCAAUCCUCUCCAUCUACAGCUUAGCCUCCGCAUCCACUGGCAACCGGAUCACCUCCUUCAUCACCACAACAACUAGCACUCCUUUCUCCUCACUUCGUGGUUCUUCUGUCCUUCCUUCCUCUCUCCUCUCUCUGCACUAAUCGUCCCACCCACUGCGCCUCGGCAUGGAGAAGGUGCAGCACAUCACACGGGAGGCCAUUCGGCGGGCGUCCAUCAUGGAGGUCCCCCAGCAGGCCAAGCAAAACAUGCAGGAGCUCUUUGUCAACUUCUGCCUCAUCCUCAUCUGCCUGCUGCUCAUCUACAUCAUUGUCUUGCUAAUGUGAGCGGGAGGGGCCACAGGUUUCCCUCUAGCCAAUGAGGGCAGAGGACAGUACAGAGGAGCCAAUCGCGUUGAAGGCUCCUUCCACGGCAUGUGAGAGACCACUGGCAAACAAGAACCACCUCCACUUGGGGCCGAACACACGACGCCACAGCUGAACACGGACAACCCUGCAAAUCGCCAUCCCAUCAAUAUGGAUCUGAUCAAUAACCGAGGACUAAACCUGCUGCUCAACUUCCUCCUUAUUGUAGUGGCCCUACUGCUCAUGCUCAUUCUGGUCAAGCUCAUGUGAUGCCAAAAUGGCCAGAAACAAGAAUAAUGGGUAUGAGAGAGACGUAUGUUUCAGAGACUCCUACUCUCUCGACCUUCAAAACCAUUUUCAAGGUGCCUUACACGACAUUAGACUGACUUCCACACCAGA